CUGUUGCUGAGGCUAGCUUUGAACUCACAAUCCUCCUGCCUUAGUCUCCUGAGCCAUUGGGAUUACAGGCAUGGGCCACCGUGCCUGGCUACCAACAUCACUGUCUACAUCAGCACGUAUGUGGUAAUGGCAAUAAGUAUGCUUCAUACAUCUGGUCAUCCAGCAGAGACCAAUAUAAUAUCUCAUCUUUUGUGAUGACACAAAUAAUCAAGAGUCAGAGCUUUUUCUUGAAUCAAGGAGGCUGAUAAUUUGGAGAGGCUGUAGGAAUGCUUCGGUGUGAGAUUCAACUGUAAUGAAAAGUGAAAAGCCUUAUAAUGAUAAAGUACUGAGACCCAGUAGCACUGCUGUUGUCAAAGCUGAACUGCUUCUCUGGUUCAUGAUCACUGUUGAAGGUUAACCUUAACUUAGACAAUCAAACCUGGAAUGACACAUCCACAGGACUCCAUUCUGUAUAAGCUGGUGUAAUUAACACACCACAGGAAACCAUCAAGUAAUAAAAUUUGUAAAAGUUCGGUUACUGACUGGUCUAUUUUAAACUACUUGCCAGUUAUAGCACUGACCUUUUUACAUGGUUAUUCUCCUCAAAAGGAGAAUUUUAAAAAAUACAUAUUUACACACAAUCACAUAUUUCUAUCAUUCUUAGGCACAAGUAUAAAAAAAGUCACUCUUUUUAGCAAUACUGAAACACAUUCGUAAUAGUAUGCUGUGGACGACAUAACUUCUGUCUGGAUAGUAAUAAAUUGUGCACUAUGCAAUCAAAACAGAAUAAAAGAUCUGAACGAUCAAAACAUAUUUCAACAGACUUAAACAAACGCUGGCAAACUUGCAAAUUCUUGCAACUUUGUUCUGAAUGGAGAGAAACAGAAAUGAUUGAGAGAAGAGCCUGAAACACCAGAAGGUACCACUGUUGUGAUAAAUGGGUCAUUUAUAUGCAACAGCACAAAUGAGGCUUAAAGGGAGCCAGUCAUGACUUCAGUGGUUCAUUAGUUCUCUGCAGCAAAAGAAGAAAUCCCUUGUACCCAGACAUUAAGAAUGGACAAAACAUUAACAGAAAGUUGCAGCUAGUCUCCGGUUUUACUUCUAAGACAAAAACAAAAGGUAAAACCACCCAAGCUUCAAGGAAAUGAAGAAACCAUAUGAGGACAUUCAUCUACAACAUACACCAUUAAAGGCAUUUACUCUCCACCUUGAAUGGUGACCUAAAAAGAUGACCUCACCUGCUGGACUACCCAUUUCUUGAGAGUAGAGACAAUGAGUCAUACUUUACCAGCCUCUAUGACCUAAUGCCUGGCACAAAGUAGUUAUUCAAUAAACAUCUACUGAAUUGAAUCACUCCCUUUCAUUGAAAAAUGGCAUUUGAUUAUUCAUGGUUUGUAUUUAGAAAUAAACUUAGGCAGCAUUAGGAACCAAGGCAGUUUGUAAAUCAUUUAAGUAUAUUCACUCACUCUACUUAUCUUCCAUGUAGAAGAGUUGUUAUUCCAUAUGGCAGAUUAUGGAAUGAAUAUAUAUAUGUUAUUUUAAAUUACUUGCCAGUAUGUAUGUAUAUGUGUGUAUGUAUACACACACACACACACACAUAUAUUCUUUUUAAUCUUAAAUAUUUUUUUCUCUUCAAUUUUUAGAACAGGUCAGGUCCCCAUAGGAUAAAAACUAAAAGGGAUUGAAUCACAUUUCAAGCCAGCAUUCCACUGUGCUGAUGUUCUAUACCUCUAGGUCUGGUGGGCUUAGCUCUGGGUUUGAAACAAUAUAUUUAUGUUGUUUAUGCCAUUUUUUUUCCUGCUGAGUCUUACGGAAAAUCAGACUAGAGAUCAAUCCUCACUCAAAUUAAUGAGCACAUGAUUCCUUUCAAGAAGCUUCAUAUUUACCUCAGAAAUCUUCUAGGACUUUAGAAAUAUAUAAUUUACACAGCAGGGAACUGUAUAAACUAUAUCAGUUCAACCAAAGUGAAAUUUUGAAAUUUUAUUGCUUUUUAGACCAGAAACAAGUCCUUUCAGAAAUACAGGUGUGUAUGUGAACAUACAGAUCAAGAAACUAGAUCAGUAAGUAUGUAAUUAUUAUAUUUAAUUUUAUCAUUUCUGUAAACGUCCAUGACUCAGUUAAAAACAAAUUAUAUUUUGACAUAACUUAUAUUGCUCUUUUUUUUUAAACUAUUAUUCACCUUUCCUAGGUGGCACUUAAAGGUCUUCUUUUAAAUGCAAUGUAAUUCAUGUACAUUUAUUCAUCAAGCAGGAGAGAAUUAAAACUCAAAGAUGUGACACCAUCUUCUGUUGUGACAAUUUAUUUCAUUGCAAAUAAUUCUUUAUUCCUAGAAUGCUAGUUACUCUAUUUUAAAACCCCCUAAUCUCAAGAUAAUGCAUUUCAUCCUAAUUCUAUUAAGAAUUAUCAUAUUUCAUUGAACAGUCUUCUUAUCUCAUAAUAUUAUUUGAGACAUUUAAUCAUCUAUAAUUACAUUUCUGCUGCAUUUAAUCAAUCAAAUAAUGUCAUUCUUUUUCUAAUAGAAAAUAUGAGUCCCUGUAUUUCACCAAGCAGUGAACACUAUCCAUUGUUAUUUCAUUCUGCAACAAAACUACUUAUAAAAAUAAUCUUUGAAAGGUAUGAGCUACGUGAAGGAGAAACACAUCAUGAAGAUCAACAAUGCUAUUUACACAGAAAAUAGAGGCCUACACAAGCCAUGCUUUGUGUGGACUGAUUACCAAUGACUCCUGCAGGGACUGCUGCUCAUCUAUUUCUACAGAACACACUUCGGUGGGAGUUGGUGCUAGGAAUUCUACCCAGGGCCUGUGAAACUAGAAGGUAACAAGAAAAUCUACCAGAAACAUCACAAAAUAAUUAUUUCUUCACUUCUACAAAUAUUACUUAAAGUAACCCUUCAGAAGGGAGUAGGAGGGAAUAUCUAUUUUCUUUCUCAACCAGGACCACAUUGAGAAGAUGUUCCUAUGUACCCAAAAUCUUAAUAAAAAGCCAUACAAUUUAAAAAGCCAUGCUUUAGAUGAAAGGUUGAACCAUCGACUUCUUUGACACCAACCUCUGGUGACAAAGUCAUCUGAUCUAACAGACAACAGAUAUUUUGCAUGCACGCACAUAUGUAGUUUUAGUAUUCCCUUCAUCUGAUGAAGAGCUGAGGUCAGACCAUAGUUAUUCUCUUUGGUGUAAAAGUGAAAUGCUAAGAAGUAUAUAACCAACAAAAAUCCACAGACAUUCUCCCAAGGACUUUCUCAAUCUGUCUACCCGGCAAGGCGUACCAGUUAUGUUAAUGGGCACCACGUCAGCCUGGACCGUUUGGGCUUGCUGGCGCAUCUUCUCUUCUGGUGUUGGCAGUGGCAGUGACUUGGUCCAGUUGGUCUGAGUGUUAAGGUCAGAGAAGUCACCUGAGGUUGGCGUUUUAGGUCUUCUGAUGCCAAUAAGUCUUUCUUCUGAUGAAGAAAGAGAACACUGCAGAGAAAACAAGAAAUCACAAUGUGCAAAAAGCUGGCAGGAAUGCUUUUUAAUAAUAUGUUUUAUUUUGAAAAAUUAGACUGAUUUAAAGAAAGCCAAAGAACUGAGCACAUUUCACAGAAGCAAUGAUUUGCAAGAAAACUGCAUCCUCUUGAACAGAACCCAUAAUGUAUAUGAUUCACCCUGGCCCUGGCCUGUAAAUUGUGAGGACUGCAGAGGGUAUUGCUGAUCCACAAAAUCCUUUAUGUUCUUCCAGUUUCCCCUGUUUUUGCUGUGGACAGAAAGCUCAGAAGCCUACAGAACAUCAGGGCUUCAGCCAUUAGUGUCCAUUUGCAUGAAAAUUUAGAUUUGCUCAGAGUAAUUUAUAGCCUCAAUCUUAUUUCCUCUACGCUCUGACCUCAAAGAACAUUUAAAAAAAUGAUAGAGCUAUUGUUGUUCAACUCUGUGAGCUCUUCUGAAACCAUUUUUUUUUCUGGGAGAAAAAAUCAGUGUGAAAUUGUUGAAUUAGAAGAAGCUGACGAAAGUCCUUCUUCUGAGCCUUAUCAGAAUUCCACAAAAGCAUUUCUAGCAGUGUCUGUUUUGAUACAGGUUAACAUCCUCACUCAAGAGCCCUUCUUCCCACAGCACCUUAGAAAGUGUAAGUAAGAAAGUUGUGUUGGCAAGCAUUUUAUGAAGGACUUUGACUUUGGUUCGUGGGCAGCUGAUUCUGUGACAAGAUGAACUCAGAAUAAAUGCAAAGAGCUUAGAAACAACAAAAAAGGUAAUUGACUUUUGUGGGGAAAUGGCAGUUUAUGAUAUACAAUAAAUGUAUACAAACUGUUCUUCAAGUCUAAGACACUCAAACUGAACUACCACUUAUGAAAUCAGUCUACACCACUCCCAGCCACCCACUCCAGAUGAGGGUAGUUGCUCUCAGCCGUCUAACACCACAGCUGUGUCCGGCCUGUACUUGAACUUUCUAUAAGAGGAAUAUGCUGUUUUUCUUUUGUGAUUCAGGUUUGUGAAGAUUUAUUGACCUUUAAAAGGCACAUUUUAAAUGUGCUGGAUUUAAUGUAGCUUUCUAAGAAGACAUAGGAAAGAAAUAUGCAAAAAUGCAUCAAUUAGAAAUUUCAAACACAACUGUCAUCACUACCUAUUGUUUCUGAAUUUAUCUUGAUGCAAAAUAUCUGUAUGUACUUUACUACUACUAGAGCACCACAAAUUUGACAAAUAUUACAAGGGUAGGGUCCUAGACCAAAAAUCCAAAAAAUCCUGUUCCAAAACUGUUUCCUUUGAUGUAAACUGGGGUGACGCUACUUAUCUUCUUCAUCCACAGAAGUAUUCUGAGGACUUCAAUGAACUGAUGAAGGUGGAAGUGUUAUCACUAUGAAAUAUAAUGGACAUAAGGGUGGUGGUCAUAUAAAUGACUUUAGAAAAGCAAAAUCCAGACAUUGACAAGUACCCCUUCUAGAACAGAGACACUAACAAUGAUAAAGCACUGUGGAAAUAAAAACAUCUGAUAGCACAAUCUAUUUUUUGCUUGAUAUUUUUAAUAUAUAAAGCACAUAAAAAAGUUUCUUUUCCACCUAGAGAAAUUAUGAAAUUAUUUUGUAAUUAAAGUGACAAAUAUACUCAA